rnacentral:rRNA from 1 species
UCGCCUGUUUAUCAAAAACAUCUUCUCUUGAAUGUAAAUAUGAGAUUUAACCUGCCCGUUGAGUAUUUGAAAGGCCGCAGUAUUUUAACUGUGCAAAGGUAGCAUAAUCAUUAGUCUUUUAAUUGGAGGCUUGUAUGAAUGGUUGGACGAGAUAUCAGCUGUUUCAAUUAAAUUUUUAAUAGAAUUUUAUUUUUUAGUAAAAAAGCUAAAAUAUGUUUGGAGGACGAGAAGACCCUAUAGAUUUUUAUAAUUAGUUUAAUAUAGUUAAUUAGAAGUAUUAAAUUAUGUUAAAUUAUAUUAUUUUGUUGGGGUGACAUUGAAAUUUAAAUAACUUUCAAUUUUUAUAUACAAUGAUUGUUGGAUAAUUGAUCCAUUAUUAAUGAUUAUAAGAUUAAAUUACCUUAGGGAUAACAGCGUAAUUUUUCUUGAGAGUUCAUAUCGAUAGAAGAGAUUGCGACCUCGAUGUUGGAUUAAAAUAUAAUACUAGGCGCAGCAGUUUAGUUUUUAAGUCUGUUCGACUUGUAAGUUUUUACAUGAUCUGAGUUCAAAACCGGAGA